GACGAACGCUGGCGGCGUGCCUAAUACAUGCAAGUCGAACGCUUCUUUCCUCCCGAGUGCUUGCACUCAAUUGGAAAGAGGAGUGGCGGACGGGUGAGUAACACGUGGGUAACCUACCCAUCAGAGGGGGAUGACACUUGGAAACAGGUGCUAAUACCGCAUAACAGUUUAUGCCGCAUGGCAUAAGAGUGAAAGGCGCUUUCGGGUGUCGCUGAUGGAUGGACCCGCGGUGCAUUAGCUAGUUGGUGAGGUAACGGCUCACCAAGGCCACGAUGCAUAGCCGAACUGAGAGGGUGAUCGGCCACACUGGGACUGAGACACGGCCCAGACUCCUACGGGAAGGAGCAGUAGGGAAUCUUCGGCAAUGGGCGAAAGUCUGGCCGAGCAACGCCGCGGGAGGGAAGAAGGUUUUCGGAUCGUAAAACUCUGUUGUUAGGGAAGAACAAGGACGUUAGUAACUGAACGUCCCCUGACGGGAUCUAACCAGAAAGCCACGGCUAACUACGUG
rnacentral:rRNA from 1 species